rnacentral:rRNA from 1 species
UACGUAGGGUGCAAGCGUUGUCCGGAAUUAUUGGGCGUAAAGAGCUCGUAGGCGGUGUGUCGCGUCGGCCGUGAAAACCUGGGGCUUAACUCUGGGCGUGCGGUCGAUACGGGCAUCACUGGAGUUCGGCAGGGGAGACUGGAAUUCCUGGUGUAGCGGUGAAAUGCGCAGAUAUCAGGAGGAACACCGGUGGCGAAGGCGGGUCUCUGGGCCGAUACUGACGCUGAGGAGCGAAAGCGUGGGGAGCGAACAGG